UUGUAAUAAUUUAGAGCUCACUUGAUGAAAAUUUUGGUACAAGUUUAUUCCAAUUGAGUAUGGAAUAAUUGGAUUGAUUUUGUAGGCGCCGAUCAGAUGCAACAAUCAUCAAGUGUAGCAGAAAGGAUUGCAGAUUAUGGACUUUGAGUUCAAAUCAUUGCAUCAGCUCAGUCGCAUCGACGGCGUCAAACAAGCGUCGAAUUGAUUCAGAAUUUUAAUUCUCUUCCUGAGGGAUUGGAGGUCUGUCAAUCUGGAAAGGCUAAAAUUUCUGUUUCCUUUGAUGCGUAUUAUGAAUUUGCAGGAGGCAGAUAGGCGGAACAAGGUUUAAUCUCUGAGUCCGUUGAUUUUCAAGCUGUUUGUUACGGGCUGCAUUGAUGUGGGGAUGAUCACCCGUAUGGGAAAAUAUGCCUGAACGAACCAAGGAUCCAUGUGUUUUUACUUCGGUCUAGUCAACCCAAACGAAAGCGACUUUGAUAUGACUCAUCCAAGCGGCUGAUCAGUAUAAAUAGCUCAAUAGACAUGUGAGAGGUUUGAGAUCAUUUACUGCUUUCUUACAUUAUCAUUCUCUAAUUAUGACCUCACUGUCUUAAGUGUUGAAGGGUCAGUGCAAGGCCAAGAACAACCAACCCUGACUAUGCCUUGUUGGUGCAGAACUUUAGAUCUUGGAUACGACCCACCGACCUGGUGAUUGAGGACGAUCUUCGCCAUAAAACCAACCACAGAUAGCAAAGCAAAAGCAGAGAAGCAUACAGAUGCUAUGUCAAGUGAUGAAUGACGUCCGCUGAUUGCUUGAACCUUGAAAAGGUUUCUGCUCUUCUUGGCAUCAGUUGUCUGCCCGUAGGCAACCUCGUUGCGGGAUGAAUUAUAGGCAUAAGCUCUCACAAAAUAAACUGCAGUUGUCCACAGUUUUCCUCCAUCCACGAUCAGCCUGGCUGAUUGGUCCGUAGCAAAGCAUCAACUUAACUUCAUUGUACGACGAAUCUGUCCCAUCUGGAAAACUCUGAUUCAGCCCCCAGAAUAGGGGCUCCGGCAGUUUCCUUUGGCGGGGGCCAUAUGAAUUAAUGUUCCAUUUCUUGGAAUUUGAUUACUGCGUUUUAGAUAUAUCUUGCGAUGGGAGGCCGGAAUCUAAUAGCGUUAUCUUCCAAAAAAUUUAUUUAUUGGAGGUCGUGAGUAUUCGAUAGUCAAGGGUUUUGUGACGACAUAGUUUUGUUUUCACACUAACAUACGUUCGUCAGAAAGGUGUAUCGAAUUCUAUAUUAAUAGCAAAGAAGAAACAUAAGAACUUGAAUAUAUUCCAAUCUACCUCUUAUGUUUGAUUGCUAACGAUGUUUAUGAGAAGUUCCCAAAGGAAGAUGCUUGAAAUUGUUGUUCAAGUGUCUUGAAUGGUUUUUCAUACUUUAUGGAAAAUGUUCAUCCAAAUCAAGUUUCGUCGUAUCGAAG